UGGGGUGCAGCAGGCGAGAAAACUUUGCAAUGUGCGAAAGCACGACAAGGUUAGUCCGAGUGAUUUCUGCUAAAGAGAUCUUUUGCUAGUUAUAAAACCACUAGUGAAUAAGGGGUGGGCAAGUUCUGGUGUCAGCCGCCGCGGUAAAACCAGCACCUCAAGUGGUCAGGAUGAUUAUUGGGCCUAAAGCAUCCGUAGCCGGCUCUGUAAGUUUUCGGUUAAAUCCAUGUGCUCAACGCAUGGGCUGCCGAAAAUACUGCAGAGAUAGGGAGUGGGAGAGGUAGACGGUACUCGGUAGGAAGGGGUAAAAUCCUUUGAUCUAUCGAUGACCACCUGUGGCGAAGGCGGUCUACCAGAACACGUUCGACGGUGAGGGAUGAAAGCUGGGGGAGCAAACCGGAUUAGAUACCCGGGUAGUCCCAGCUGUAAACGAUGCAGACUCGAUGAUGCAUUGGCAUAUAGCCAGUGCAGUGUCGCAGGGAAGCCGUUAAGUCUGCCGCCUGGGAAGUACGUACGCAAGUAUGAAACUUAAAGGAAUUGGCGGGGGAGCA
rnacentral:rRNA from 2 species